AGCAGCCGCGGUAAUUCCAGCUCCAAUAGCGUAUAUUAAAGUUGUUGCAGUUAAAAAGCUCGUAGUUGAAUUUCGGGAUCAAAGGAUCGGUCAUGCCUUGGUAUGUACUGGUUUUAUUGGUUCUCACCUUCUAAAGAACCAUAAUGUCAUUCAUUUGAUGUUAUGGGGAAUUAGGACUGUUACCUUGAAAAAAUUUAGAGUGUUUAAAGCAGGCUUACGCUUGAAUACAUUAGCAUGGAAUAAUGAAAUAGGACAUCAGAUUCUAUUUUGUUGGUUUCUAGGAUCGAUGUAAUGAUUAAUAGGGAUAGUUGGGGGCAUUAGUAUUCAAUUGUCAGAGGUGAAAUUCUUGGAUUUAUUGAAGACUAACUACUGCGAAAGCAUUUGCCAAGGAUGUUUUCAUUAAUCAAAGAACGAAAGUUAGGGGAUCGAAGACGAUCAGAUACCGUCGUAGUCUUAACCAUAAACUAUGCCGACUAGGGAUCGGAUGAUGUUAAUUUUAUAAUGACUCAUUCGGCACCUU
rnacentral:misc_RNA from 1 species